rnacentral:lncRNA from 1 species
GAGAAUCUCAUAUAUGGAAAUUCAUAAAAUAAAAUUAAAAAUACACCAACACAGAUUAACAAUUACAACAAAGGGAUAGACAAUUACAUACUAAUUACAUACUAAGCAAGAAAAUUAAAAAAUGAUGAACAAAUACAUACUUGAAGUUGAUCAAUUCAACAAAUAUCUCUAAACUUUUUCCCCUUCCUAAUCUGCACAUAAAUUCAAUAGAAAGAAAAGGUCAUAAAUAAUUAUAAAGUUAAAAACCUUGUGGGAAUGGGGUGCCCUAAUCUUGGGAGGAAACAUGGUAUUUACUGUUAGACUCCACAUGGUAAAAUUAUAUUAUUCAAUAACACGGAAAGCUAAAACUGGAUACUUCUUUAGUAAAUUUAGGUUUUAAUCACAAAAAACUUUUACUUUUGGAAAAAGCCAAAAUUUUUCCAAAAAAAAAAAAGAAAAAUCGCUCAACUUUCAAACCAAAAACAUGCAAAUGUAUUGGAUUCAUUAGGAAAUCUAAAAAUAAAUAAGGGCAUUUUUGUCCAUUUUGACUUCUUUUAAAAAAUUUC